UCAAGCUACAAAGAGCACAAGGGGAAUGCCUUGGCACCGAGAGCCGAAGAAGGACGUGACUAACUGCGAUAAGCUGCGGGGAGCCGUAAGUAGGCUUUGAUCCGCAGAUUUCCGAAUGGAGCAAUCCGGCAAGAGGAAAGUCUUGUCAUCAUAUACUGAAUACAUAGGUAUAUGAGGGGAACCGCCUGAACUGAAACAUCUAAGUAGGGCGAGGAAGAGAAAUCAACUGAGAUUCCGUAAGUAGUGGCGAGCGAACGCGGAAGAGGCCAAACCGAGAGUAGUAAUACUUUCGGGGUUCGGACAGAAAACGGUAUUGUAAAGGUUUAGUGGAAUGGAAUGGGAAGUCCAACCGAAGAAGGUGAGAGUCCUGUACACGAAAAGCCUGAACAGCCAUCUGUAUCCAGAGUACCGCCGGACACGUGAAACCCGGUGGGAAUAUGGGGGGACCAUCCUCCAAGCCUAAAUACUACUCGGUGACCGAUAGUGAAGAAGUACUGUGAAGGAAAGGUGAAAAGUACCCCUGACGGGGAGUGAAAAAGAACCUGAAACCUUGUGUUUACAAGCACCGAAAGCUCAUCAAAGAGCGAUCGGGUACCUUUUGUAGAAUGGUCCGGCGAGUGAAUGUAACCGGCGAGGUUAAGCACUUAAGGUGUGAAGCCGCAGCGAGAGCAAGUCUGAAUAGGGCGUAUGAAGUCGGUUGUAUUCGACCCGAAACCGGGUGACCUACCCAUGGUCAGGUUGAAGUAAAGGUAAAACUUUAUGGAGGACCGAACCGACUCCCGUUGAAAUGGUAGCGGAUGAACUGUGGGUAGCGGAGAAAUUCCAAUCGAACCCGGAGAUAGCUGGUUCUCUCCGAAAUAGCUUUAGGGCUAGCCUUGAAAUAGAUUACCGGAGGUAAAGCACUGAAUUGGCUAGGGGCCGAGAGGUUACUGAACCUUAUCAAACUAAGAAUGCCGGAUAAUCGUUUUUCAGGAGUCAGACAGUGGGAGAUAAGUUUCAUUGUCAAAAGGGAAACAGCCCAGACCCACAGCUAAGGUCCCCAAGUAUAGUUAAGUGGAAAAGGAUGUGGAAUUGCACAGACAACCAGGAUGUUGGCUUAGAAGCAGCCACUCAUUAAAAGAGUGCGUAAUAGCUCACUGGUCGAGUGACUCUGCGCCGAAAAUUUAACGGGGCUAAACUAUACACCGAAGCUUGGGAUACAUCUAAUGUAUGGUAGGAGAGCGUUCUGUAUGGGGAGAAGUCGUAGCGAAAGCGGCGGUGGACUAUACAGAAGUGAGAAUGCCGGAAUAAGUAGCGAGAAUUAAGUGAGAAUCUUAAUGGCCGAAAGUCUAAGGUUUUUGGAGGAAGGUUCGUCCGCUCCAAGUAAGUCGGGAGCUAAGGUCAGGCCGAAAGGCGUAGCCGAUGCACAUACGGUUGAUAUUCCGUAACCAUCUGUAAUUUAAGCAAAGGGACACUUCAAAAGGGUGUGACCCGGGCGUUGGUUGACCCGGGCGUAAGGGACCGAAAUUAGAGUAGGGAAGCACACUUAGCUGAAGGCGAGAAAAGCUUUGCGUAUAGAAGCAGAUGCCCGUACCGCAAACCGACACAGGUGGACAGGAAGAGAAUUCUAAGGCCAGCGGGAGAAGGGUAGUUAAGGAACUCGGCAAAUUGACUCCGUAACUUCGGAAUAAGGAGUGCUCGAAAGAGCCGCAGAGAAUAGGCCCAGGCGACUGUUUAGCAAAAACACAGGUCUCUGCCAAAUCGAAAGAUGAAGUAUAGGGGCUGACACCUGCCCGGUGCCGGAAGGUUAAGAGGAGGAGUGAGAGCUCCGAAUUGAAGCCCCGGUAAACGGCGGCCGUAACUAUAACGGUCCUAAGGUAGCGAAAUUCCUUGUCGGGUAAGUUCCG
rnacentral:rRNA from 1 species